rnacentral:pre_miRNA from 1 species
UUCCUAUGCAUAUACUUCUUUGAGAAUUGCUUCUAAAGAGGUAUAGGGCAUGGGAAAA